rnacentral:tRNA from 1 species
GAACUCGUAGCUCAGCUGGUAGAGCAUCGGACUUUUAAUCCGUUGGUCCUGGGUUCGAGUCCCAGCGAGUUCA